rnacentral:tRNA from 1 species
AGGGGGAAGGUGACCUAAAAGAAGCUGCUAACUAUCUUUUAAAGCGGUUUAAUUCCGUUUUCCCCUUU